rnacentral:lncRNA from 1 species
UUGCAUUGUAGUGUUCUCUAGAUGGCUCCGUGCAUGACACAAAACAAGAAUAAAUAUUAAAGUGCCAGUGUUAAAGAUUUUAAGUGAAUCUUGAAAAUCUGCUAGCCUUUAAGAGCAAACUUCUCUUCACCAAAGGAUGACUUAAAAUAAGAAAGACUUCCCACUGGGUUCCAGCCGGCACACCCAACCUCUUCAGGACCUGUCCCCUGGGUCUCCUCAUCUGCCAUCUGAUAUCAAGACUCAUUUAGCCUUCUCUACAACAUUUGAGGCAAUGGAAGAGGAAGAGAAAUAACAUUUAUCAAGCAUGCAUUAUGCUUACACAUUUACCAUUUAAUUUUCCAACACCCCCAUAAGGUCAAUGUUAAUCCCAUUUUAACAAGGCCAAAAGAGCAAGGAAUCAAGUUAGUAUUCAAACUGAUGUCCAUCUGUUUUGAACACCCAUGCUCUUUCUAGUAUAUUAUGAUGCCUCUUUGUUUAUUCAUUUAGUUGUUAGAUAAUUAAUUUUUUUCCACUGGGGGAGAAAAGAGAGUAAAUUCUGUGAGGAAGUCAUAUGUUUUGCUAUAAUGAUUUUCAUAGCAAGAAAGGUGACCGCUAUACUAUUCUGAGUGCUCUAUGGGAUUAAAGUGCAGUGAGGUGAGAACUCAGAAAUCUCCAGCAUGAGCAAGCAGCUGAGAGACCUGCCCAACAGUUCAUGAGCUACUUGGUACUACUUGCUUUCAGUCUGUGAGCAGGAGGGGCUCAGAAUCCAUGAAACUGGAGAAAAGAAACAAAAACAGAAGAAACUUGACACAUUGAAGAUACAGUUCAUUUAUUUAGAAAACUUCAAAAUCAAGAGUCAAGACUUCUAUCUUCAGCAUAAAACACAACUAAAAUGGAGUUGCCAAAAACAAGAAUAAAGUUACCAAAUGGAUCUGAAAUCUCAAUAGUGCCUUCUUAGCAAACACAGCAUCAACUGCCCCAAAUACUUUCCUGGGCAUCCGAUUUGUAUUUGAGGUGGCCAGUCCCUUGACUAUAGUAUCCUAGCUAAUUUUUCUUACGACGCUUGUUCUUUAAGAACUACUAAAAGUAAUUAGUUUGAUGACCUGAAAAAUCACUCUUAAAAUUCUCACAACAUCUUGUAAAAUAAAAUAGCACAUGAAAAGCUUUAAAACUGAUAAAUUCCUGAUUUACAACUGUUAACCCUACGUGUUCCUUCUUCUUCUAGCAAAGUAAAUAAAUCUGUAGUCAUGUUAGGAAUAUUUGUUAAACUAUUACAUUCUGAGAGUAGCUUUAUUUUGUAGGUACUCAAACUUUCAGACAACUUGGAUGAGAGUGUGGAAAUUCAACUGUUAGUUGGCUGGUAAAUCAACUUGCAUUACCUGUAAACUUAGGUUACCGAGGAGUUUAAAUAUACUAUCUUGUCUAACCUAUCAGGCCAAGGAUGCAUCUUUUCUACAUUUUCUUGCAGGUGAUUCUUCUUACUUUUUUUUUUUUUUUUUUUUUUUUUUUGGAGACAGAGUCUCCCUUUGUCACCCAGGCUAGAGGGCAGUGGCUUGAUGUCGGCUCACUGCAACCUCCACCUUGCCUCCUGGGUCCCAAUUCAAGCAAUUCUCCUGCCUCAGCCUCCGGAG